UGUUUAAGGUGUAAUUCCUCAGGAAGAGCAGUGUGCUUGUGGCCAUUUAAACGAGUUAACGGAGCGUGCCCGUUCAAGUCCGUCUGUGCUUUUCCCCAGGCACAAACCCCAGCUCGACGGGCGGGCGCCCAGGGUUGCUGUCGGCCGAGUCGCUCAGCCCCGCAGGUCCGUGACCUCUGGCUCCUGCCCAUGUCACAUCCCCGUCCUCCGGGUGGAAACUGCGGAAGAAAGUGCAGGAUACGCCUCGGUUUCGCUGACACCGCUCCAGCCGCGCUGGCUCCCGCACUGCUAUUUCUGCUGCAGCUUCCUGUCCUUGACCCAGCGAUACAUUGUGAAGUUCUCCUGAGUCAAUGAAUCCUGGUAAAAUGCAGUAAAGGAUUUAAGGUUAUCGUCUGUCUCUCUCUAACUUCUGACAUCUCUUUAUAACAAGAAAGAGUCACAGCAAACUGUAACAGGAGGGCAACACAAUGAAUUCUGAGGACAUACAGACCUUGUCAUCUGGAGAUGAGGGAGUCACAGCCUUCUGGGGAUCCUCUGCCAAUGUUUCACCACCCUCAUGCCUCUUGUGAAGUAUUUGCAGACAGCAGUAGAUCACCCUGCUCUCUUGGCCUUUUCAAAACUGAAGAACCACCGUGCCCUCAGCCUCUCCUUCACAGGUUUCCUGCUAUAGCUUCCACUGGAGUGUUUUAUGAGAAAUUGGAGCUGCAUAUCACAGUACCUUUUUUCCAUGAGUUAAGGGAGACUGUUCUAACACUUCCAGCUUCUGCUGUCCAGUCAUUCUCUCUUUGUAAUUAGCAUGAAGACUACCCUUCAGUCAAAACUAGCCACCUGGAAAGUUUCAGCUUGUAAUAUGCAGCUUUUUUUGUGAAUUAUGAAUGUGCAAAAAAGAGACCUUUCUCCUUACACCCACUUUCCUUGCAUAAUUCAAAUAUGAAUGAAUGAAUUUUAUUCAGCCUUGCCAAAAAAAAAAAAUAUAUAUUUCAGCUGAUAACAAGCAUGAAAAGUUUCAGAUGAAAGGGAUUUUUUUGAAAAAAGAAGAAUAUUCUGAGCAUGGGAGAAUAGCAGGUUAAGACAGAAGUCUCAGCACAGCCUUAACUAUAACAAUUGCUAUCAAGCAAAUACCAUAUCCAAGCACUAAAUCUUGCUUUGUGCUGCCCUGGUGCACAGUAGCAGGGACAGAGUAGAAUAAUAAAAGCUGGUCCCUUAUGCAAACAGCAAGGCACAGCACUUGAAAGAAUACAAGAAGAAGGUGAACCUGCCUACUGCUCUGGCUGGCUAACCAUGUUCCCGAGGUCUGUGGGUUAGUUGUCACCUCUAGCUCCCGUCAGAUAGCAAAAAGUACUUCAAACACUAUCAAAGGGAAUGUUUUGGUCCGUUCCAGAAGAACAUUUUACUAAUUCCUGGCCUCCAAAUGUGGUAUUCUAUUAAAUAAAGUAUUUGAAGGAAUUUGUAUAAGCAACAUCACGGUUUAAUGGGUCAAAAAGGGAAUUGAAUCAGUGCCAGGCAUUUUUGUGAUUAACCAUGUAUUUUAAAAAUAUAUAUCUGUGAAGAAGGUAUUAUCUGUGCAAAGCAGAAUGAGAUUUGGGCUCAUGCCAGUACCUUUCGAAAAUAAACUAUCACAGUGGAGAAA